GCGGCCGCGGCAGCAACAAGCGGCUGCUCGUGAGUCGGCGGCUCGCACACCCGGGCCGCUCACCCUCGCCGCGCGAACACCCGAGUGGGCGUCCCGAGGUGGGGGUACGGGGCUCGAGCCUGGGUUCCGGGCCAUACGCUGGCGGCGGUAGGAGGAGCGGGCAGGGCCCUUCUGGCAAGAGUGCUUCAACCCAGAGCCACCCAAUAGACCCACAAUGGAGACACUUUUAAGCAGGCUGGCAUUUCACUUCCCUAUAAAAUCCUCCUUCUCUCCCUGCGGGAAAGGCUCAUCAUAGCACUUUCUGUGUAUCUCCACUACCUGAGAGGUUCUCCUCUUCACCCUGAUGAAGUCUCCUACAGCAUCUUAUAGAACCAACGUGGCUUUCCUCCAGGCAGGUUGGAUGCACUCACAGGAGGGAGGCAAGCAGCUGGUGGAGUCCAGCCCACUGAGUACACGUUGACAAAGUGCUGUGCGCGUUUCUGCUCGACAUUACUUGUACGUCCAUGACAUACGGCACAGAAAAGUACGUCGGGAAAAGUAGGGGCCUUAGUCCAGUUCUCUCUGUAUCUCUUCUGAAGGAUUAGUCACUGACUGACAGAUGUCUGUUACAUCAACAUGAGAGUUCAUCAGUCAAGCACAAAAGUAAACAAUUCCAACAAAGCAUAGCAAGGUUAACAGAGGAAAGGUUCAGGCUUCCCAGGUAGUGGGGUUUGAGCUGUACCUUAAAGAAUAGUUACACAUAAAUGAGUAAUUAAAAAUAGAUGUGUGUGUGUGCGUGUGUGUAUACUUAAUAGCCAGUUUUAAAAAUCAUUCCCAGAAGCUUUCAGACUUUAAAAUGUCCUCUCAUCCCACGCAGAACAGCCAUCUAACAAACUCAUAUGGUCCUAUAGUCCAGGCCAGUUCUGUGUUUAGGCCAAAGGGAUUUUGUUGAAUUGUACAUUAAAUAUAUUGGUAUGGUUAGGAAACUAGCUUUUUCAAUUAAAAAUUGGAUAUGGGGCAGGGGUGGUGGGGAGAAAGAUUCCUACAUCCAACAUGUGGAAGAAGUAUGUUCAUUUAAUAAGAUCGCUACGGCAGCUCUUUGGCCUCUAAAGCUAUAGGCUGAGAACUAUUUCCUCGUGAUACCUUGAUUCCGUAGGAAUGAAAGAGAAAGAUGACAGUCACCAGAUCAUUGCCUACAGAUGCGAAUUCCUUGGAUUCUCUGAGGUUAGGGUGUCCAUCAGGGGACUGGCUGAUGUAAUGCCCUGGGCCUGUCCAUGGCCACGUUCAGGAUGUACAGAACAGGAGCCUCAAGUUAUUUGUUAAUUCAGCAUUCCACUUACAAGUUACUUUAAUUACAUGCCUAUGACUAUUCCAUGAUACCAGACAGCUGGUGAAAACUGAAGAAGGAAAAAAAUCUAAUGUCCAGAUGUUUAGCCCGUGGUCAUGUAGGCGAAACACCUGUGCACUCAACUAGUAUUUUGUCCAGAUGUUUGAUGACCUCUAACCCUUUAUCUAUAUAGUUUAUUUCUUCCAGUAGCCAGUAGAUUAAAAUUUAAUUUAUCUCCAAGUUUAGGCUUUAAUGAAACAAAAAUAAAGGAAUUAUA